rnacentral:rRNA from 1 species
AUCAGGUAAGAACACCCGCUGAACUUAAACAUAUCAAUAAGCGGAGGAAAAGAAAAUAACCAUGAUUCCCCUAGUAACUGCGAGUGAAGAGGGAUUAGCUCAAAUUUUAAAUCCGUUAGGUUUAUCUUGACGGAGUUGUAAUUUGAAGAAGCGUUUUUCGCGUUUCUGGUCGGUCCAAAUCUUUUGGGAUAAAGUAUCAUGGAGGGUGAGAAUCCCGUUCGACCGAACCAGGCGUUUUACGAUACGCUUUCAAAGAGUCAAGUUGUUUGGGAAUGCAGCUUAAAAUGGGAGGUAAAUUUCUCCUAAGGCUAAAUAUUGGCGUGAGACCGAUAGCGAACAAGUACCGUGAGGGAAAGAUGAAAAGCACUUUGAAAAGAGAGUUAAAUAGCACGUGAAAUUGUUGAAAGGGAAACGAUUGAAGCCAGUCGUACCGUCGGGAAAUCAACCUUUCGACGCGAUCCUGUGGGCGCGUGGGAGUUUAAACCCCUGCGUUUUCAAGUUCUGCGUUCUUUUGGCGUACUUUCUCGUGUGGUAGGUUAACAUCAAUUUUGGCCGUCGUAAAAUGAUCGGAGGAAUGUGGCUUCAAUUUGUCGAAGUGUUAUAGACUCCGGUAGAUGCGAUUGCCGGGAUUGAGGAUUGCAACGAAUGCCUCUCGGGGCUAACCGCCUGAUCUCUAAUCGUCGCCUUGGUACCGGAAGCAUGCUUACGGUCUUCGAGGUUGAUGGUUACAAGGUUAGAACGGGAUAAAUUCGUUAAGGAUGUUGACGUAAUGGCUUUAAACGACCCGUCCUGAAACACGGACCAAGGAGUCUAACAUAUAUGCGAGUGUU